rnacentral:misc_RNA from 1 species
GAUGAAGAACGCAGCGAAAUGCGAUACGUAGUGUGAAUUGCAGAAUUCCGUGAAUCAUCGAAUCUUUGAACGCACAUUGCGCCCUUUGGUAUUCCUUAGGGCAUGCCUGUUCGAGCGUCAUUUAAACCUUCAAGCUCAGCUUGGUGUUGGGUGACUGUCCGCUUCACCGCGGACUCGCCUCAAAAUUAUUGGCGGCCGGUACAUUGGCUUCGAGCGCAGCAGAAACGCGAACUCGGGCCCGUCGUAUUGGCUCCCAGAAGCUAUCUUCACAAUUUUGACCUCGGAUCAGGUAGGGAUACCCGCUGAACUUAAGCAUAUCAAUAAGCGGAGGA